UACGAAGGGGGGCUAGCGUUGCUCGGAAUCACUGGGCGUAAAGGGUGCGUAGGCGGGUCUUUUAAGUCAGUGGUGAAAUCUCUGAGCUUAACUCAGAAACUGCCAUUGAUACUAUGUUUUCUUGAAUUUUCUGGAGGUCAGCGGAAUAUGUCAUGUAGCGGUGAAAUGCUUAGAUAUGACAUAGAACACCAAUUGCGAAGGCAGCUGGCUACAGGGAUAUUGACACUGAGGCACGAAAGCGUGGGGGAUCAAACAGG
rnacentral:rRNA from 1 species